AGCAGCCGCGGUAAUUCCAGCUCCAAUAGCGUAUAUUAAAGUUGUUGCAGUUAAAAAGCUCGUAGUUGAAUUUCGGGGUCAGUAGAUUGGUCGUGCCACUGGUAUGUACUGGUCUUACUGGCUCCUCCUUCCUGAUGAACCGUAAUGCCAUUAAUUUGGUGUUGCGGGGAGACUGGACUGUUACUUUGAAAAAAUUAGAGUGUUUAAAGCAGGCUAACGCUUGAAUACAUUAGCAUGGAAUAAUGAAAUAGGACGUUCGAUCUUACUUUGUUGGUUUCUAGGAUUGACGUAAUGAUUAAUAGGGAUAGUUGGGGGCAUUAGUAUUCAAUUGUCAGAGGUGAAAUUCUUGGAUUUAUUGAAGACUAACUACUGCGAAAGCAUUUUGCCAAGGAUGUUUUCAUUAAUCAAGAACGAAAGUUAGGGGAUCGAAGACGAUCAGAUACCGUCGUAGUCUUAACCAUAAACUAUGCCGACUAGGGAUCGGAUGAUGUUAAUUUUUAAUGACUCAUUCGGCGCCUUA
rnacentral:rRNA from 1 species